rnacentral:lncRNA from 1 species
GCAUUUGUGUACAACAUGCCAUUAAGAGCUAGACUUUUCACUCCUGUUACAAUUUUGUUCAGAAUUAAUAUUCUUGAAGACUAUACUCUGUUCUUCUGCAUUCCCUUCCACUUUUAGAGAGUAUUAAAAGAAUACAUUGAUGGCUAGAAAAGCCCUAUGAAUCCACAGCAUGUUGUUCUCUCUAUCCUUCAGCUCUAACAUGCACUAGAGAUUAGUUUGUGUCUAUAAAAAGAACUGCAGCUGUUAGUGCUUGUCUACUUACAAGAGGCUUGAAAAGCAUAUAUUAAUUAGGGAGAAUUUGUUUAGGAGCACUUGAAAACUCUUGUGUGUACUUCCCUGUGCAACUAACAACUUCACCUUCCCUUCACUUCUACUGUCACAAACAAAAUCAUUUGUGGAAAAGCCCACAAAACUCAUUACAUCUAAAUCUCUCACUAAAGUCAUCGACACAGUAACCCCAGUGGCAUCUGGAAUAAAUCAUUAUUAGUUCUUAUUUCAUCUCAUCCUAGCAGCUUUAUUUGUGUCCUGUAUUCUCUAUUUGGCAUCCAUUCUUUCCGCUUUGCUGUCUCUUUACACCCCUUAACAGAGAUGACUGAUUGGAUUAAAAUAAUUCAGGACUGAGAUGAUUCAUGUUUCAGUUAAAGUCAACUGUACAGGCUGUUCUGCACUAGCGAGACUGCUUGUCGUUUACCAUGCACUUGGGCAUAUUCCAGUGACAUAGAGGUGUGAAAGGACUGGGGCAAAACUGAGGCACUUCCCUUUGGCCUUUCAUGCUAUAGCAGCUGUUCACAGAGCAGCCUUCUGGCAAAGGGAAUAGCAAGCAGCGCUGUGAGUUAACAGGCUCUUUACCACAAUGGGCUCAAGCUCAAAUUCAGACUUGGGUCACAAGUAAAAAUAUUUGGCCUGAUCUUCCAAGUAAUUCUACAAAAUUGCUGCAGUCCUAUAAAGAAGGUGCCAAGAACCAGUGUAAUAAAAGCUAGUUGCAAGUCAAGUCUGAAGCAGCACCUAAAAAGGCAAUAGCAAGCUGCUAGCCUUUCCAGCUUUCACACUGUCAAGGAUCUUAGUUCCUCUGUUUUGCAGGUUUUAGGCUCAGUCACCAUACUUUUGGGAAUCUUUUUAUCUAGCACUAGACUAGAAAGAAACAUUACAUGGCACUAAGUGUUCACACAUUCUCAUAUAAGGCAGGUACAGAUUGCUAUCAAAGAGCCUGCAAAGCAGAGCUGUAGACAGUUUUACCAGAAUUAUUUUAACAGACAGAAAGGAAAACUCUCCCUACAUUGGUAGCAAAGAGUACUUCCCUUCAAGUCCUAUGUAAAACCAACAGCAAGUCUGACAUCCGGAAAAAAGGCACAUAACAUGGAGAAACUGCACAUGCAUGCUUGUUUUUCUUAGUAUGACUGGUGCCAUGUUUUUACACAGGACGUUCCAGGAAAAGCUACAGCAUAGCCCUCAUCCUACUCUGAUCCCUCAGGGAAAGAUAAUCACAUCUCAGUAACCCAGACAGAGCAGCUGUACGUCUCUGCUCCUGUAACAACUAUUUACACAGGACUCUAAUGAGAGAGGUCCUUUCUCUGCAAAGUAAUGUCAGUCUCAGUUAUUUCAGUGGCUGAGCAACAGAUCUCAAUUCAAACACUUGUGCUUAUAGCCUCGCAGUUGUUAACAUCAUAGGAAAGUGAAGAGUUCCAUGUUAUAAAUAACUUCAUAUAAAAGCAAUCUUAAAAGAAAGAAAUACAUUAUGAGUACUGGCCACACCUAGCAAUCUCAGACAAGGGCCACAAUCCCGUGUAUUGAACAUUUUAUAUUGAACAAAAAGUGGUUAUGAUGCCUUCCUCAUCUUCUAUCAAAUUCACAAUCUAAACACUCAUUUUCAAACUUGCAAAUAGGACAACUCCUAAAUCUUGACUGUGAACUUCGACGUCACUUACAAGGACAGAGAAAUGAGCAGAUGAUCAGUGUAAGCUUAAUAAGCUCAGUACAAUUUCUCAAGAGCAAAUCUAGCCUAAUUAGUCUAAUACAAAGUACAAAAAAAGAUAUGUUUUGUAGAAAAAUGGCUUUGUUACAACUGCCCUGUCAGCAGCAGAACCCUGCUGGAGACAUGACACAGGAGUUCUAUGUACCUGGCUCACAGACCAAAGCAAAUGGUGCAAGAGAUAACAGCACAGGAAGAUGCUAGUACAUUUUCCAAACACUGAUAUCACUUCACCAUGCAUGGAGAUAACAGGAUCUUGUGAUGUUCAACCACAAAUCUGGUCUCACAGUGUUUGGUUGGCAUACAAACUACAAACAUUUUUUGGCAAUGGAAUUGGCUCUCAAGAUUAAAAUUCACCUGAGUGUAAAGAAUAGGAUCAGUGGCUGGGAAAAAUUGAAGGGGAUUCAUUCCUCUUGAUGACAAACUUUUUCCUUACUCUUAAAUUAUUAAACCUGUACAAACAGCAGUACUGCUUCAGAUUCAGCACCAAAAAUACUUUGGACCUCUUUCAGGAAAGCUGUAACCAACACUUGCCAAAGAAGACCUUAGGUAGGACAGCAUUUUUAAGAUCCACCUUCAUUUGGGCUACUAGAAUAAAUACUCAAGCAUAAAACACAGAAAUUCACAGGAAAAAAACACAGCCAGCCAAAUUAGAUCAUCUGAUGCUAACUAGAACUUCUCAGCAAACAAUCUAACAUAACUUGAGCUAGAAGAAACCUCAUGAUGUACCUCUUAUUCCAUCAUUGUCUCAUGUUUGUAUUUAUGGAGUCAUAUGUAGUUUUCUGAUAUUACAGUUUAUCCUGG